UACGGGGGGAGCAAGCGUUGUUCGGAUUUACUGGGCGUAAAGGGCGCGUAGGCGGCCACCGCAAGUCAGUUGUGAAAGCUCUGGGCUUAACCCAGAAAGGUCAGCUGAUACUGCGGGGCUAGAGUGCAGAAGGGGCAACUGGAAUUCUCGGUGUAGCGGUGAAAUGCGUAGAUAUCGAGAGGAACACCUGCGGCGAAGGCGGGUUGCUGGGCUGACACUGACGCUGAAGCGCGAAAGCUAGGGGAGCGAACGGG
rnacentral:rRNA from 1 species